UUUUGAUGUUUCAUCUGUGGUUACAAGUUUAGCUGAAGUGUAUGCUGAUUGGUGUUGUGAAUUUAAGUCGAUAAUAAAUUCUUCAAUUUAUUCGAUUGAAAUGUAUUUUUCUUAUAUAAUUUUUUUAAAUAAUUUUUACUAACAUUUACUUUUAACUAUUGUAAGUUAUGAAUCAAGCAUGGGUGUAGUGAGUUAUAAUAAAAAUAAAUCUAGUUAAAGUGAUGACAUUAAAAAAAAUUGUAAAAAUGUCAACAAAAUCUCAAAUAUCUACAGAAUUAAGCGAGAGUAUCAGCAAUGUAUUAGGGAAAAAUGCCAAAAUUCUCUAUAAAUCGCUUAUUCGGAUGGAAUCAAGAGGUGAUAAAGUAGAUAACCGUGUUUUGGUUGUUACUGCAUUCAGGGUUUUCAUAACAACAACAAAAGUGCCAACAAGGAUUGACAAUGGAUUUCACUUAAUGGAAAUAGAAGCUUUAGAGAGUAAGAAGGCGAAUCAUUUGUCGAUAACGCUAAUCCACGAGCACAAACCAGUGUCGAUCCUAAUAGGCGAGGAGGGGACUUCCGAAGGCGUUAUUAAUGCUAUUCACGCGCUGAUUGCGGCAUUUGAUGACUUAUUUCCUAAUGUAGCUAUGGAGGACAUUGUUACAAAGGUAAAUUUACCGUUUCCACUGCAACCAGUAAGCGGUACUAGAAAACAUUCCACGUGUGGUGAUUUUUCGAAUCAAUAUGCUGCCAUGUGUGAUCUCUGUCAGACACCCUUCAGAGCCGAGGUUGCAUGGGACAUCGAUACGAUAUACUUAGCGCAUGAUAUAAGAAUGCUUCAUUUAAAAGAUUUUGACCAUUUGGAUCAAAGGGACCUAAUCCCGCUGGUGAUGGCGCUGCAGCACAACACGUGGUUCGACGGCGUGUGCGGCGACGGCGUGCGCGUGGGCGGCGAGGCGUGGGAGGCCGUGGCGCGCCUGCUGCGCGCCGCCGCGCCGCCGCCCCGGCAGCUGAGCUGGCGCGGCGCCGCGCUGCGCCACGACCACGCCGCGCGCCUCGGCCACGCGCUCGCCCGCGCGCGCCACCCGCCCGCCAUGCACACCGUCGACCUCUCGCAGAACCACAUCGAGGACAAGGGAGCCAUCAGUAUGCUUACAGGGCUAGGGAACAACCCGGACGGGUUGAGGUACAUAGCGCUGUCGCAGUGCGGACUGACCGGCAAGACGGUGUCCCACCUGGCGGUCAUGCUCAACGACAGUCCGUGCCAUCUCUCCACGCUCUCCCACUUGGAUCUGUCGCACAAUAACCUUAAGGACGACGUUCACAACUUGUAUAAUUUUUUAGCUCAACCUAACGUAUUAAAACAUUUGAAUUUGAUAAAUACGGAAACUACUUUGGAAAAUAUGUGGGGCGCGCUGUUGCGCGGCUGCGCGGCGCGGCUGGCGACGCUGCUGCUGGCGCGCAACCCGUGGUCGGCGGCGCGACGCCCGCGCGACCCGCCGCCCUCCUUCCGGCAGUUCUUCACGGCCUGCCUCGCACUCACGGACCUCGACUUCUCGUAUUGCAAGAUGCCUCCGGACGCGCUCAAGAGCUUGCUGCUGGGGCUGGCGUGCAACGAGAGCGCGGCGGGCGUGAAGCUGAACCUGGCGGGCGUGCUGUCGUCGUCGCAGGCGGCGCACGUGCUGGAGUCGUGCGUGCACGGCGUGCGCUGCCUGCAGGCGCUCGACCUGUCCGAUAACAGCAUGGAAUUCGAAUUAUCCGGAAUAGUGAGGGCAAUAGGAAAGAAUCAUUCGAUAACACAAUUAUCUUUAAGCAAGUUGACUGGAAAAAGGUCGUAUGCGCCACCGUUAAUUCAGGGUUUAGUUCACGUACUACAAGAACCUGAUACAGCUUUGACAACAUUAGAUCUUAGCGAUUGUAAACUUAAGAGUGACCUGUACGGUCUACUGAACGCGUUGGGAGGCGCGCGGAGAUUGCGCACGUUAGACGUGGGCGGCAACCUCGCGGGCGACGCCGGCGCGCGGCUGCUGGCCAAGGCGCUGCAGUGCAACUGCACGCUGCACACUCUGUACAUAGACAGGAACGCGUUCAGUUUGCAAGGUCUGACGGACAUCGCGACGGCGCUGCGGCGCUCGGUGAGCGUGCGGCGCGUGGAGUUCCCCGGCUGCGACGCGGCGGCGGGCGGCCGCGGGGCCUCGGAGCGCGUCGCCACGCUGUGGCGCGACCUGCACGAGAGGCUGGCGACCAACGGCUCGUCGGGGCAGAGCGGGCGCGUGCGCGCGCUGGCGCUGGAGCGCGCGUGGGCGGGCGGCGAGGCGGCGGCGGCGCUGGCGGCGCAGGCGGCGGCCGCGCUGCCCCCCCCGCCGCUGCCCGCCGCCACCGAGCGCGCCGCGGCCGCCGCGCACCACCUGCUGCACCAGUACCUCCAGAGGUGUAGCGAAGUGUUUGCCGCUAUGGGUGGCAACGGUGGUGGCAGUGAGCUCGUGACUUUGCAAGCCGUGCGCGAUGCUAUGGCGCCCUGCAACAACACUCUACAGGAUUUGCUCAACGAAGCGGUCGAGAGACUGGCGUUGUCAGCGUGCGAGAGUGUGGAGGGUGCGGAGAGCGAUCGCGGCCCGGUCAUCGACCCCGAGAUGCCCGACCUGCUCUCGCCCAUCUCGCACUCCGGGAAGUUGGAUUAUUUGAAUUUGGCCACGCCGCUGGGCUGCCGGCGCCGCGAGCGCGGGCGACGCGUGCGGCCCAAGUCCGUGGCCGAGCAGCAGCAGUGCAGCAGCAACGAGAUGCUGUCCCUGCCGCCGCUGCACGCCGAGGCCGCCGACGCACUCGCCGAGCUGCCGGCGCACACGCUGCGGCACCUCGUCAAAGGUCGACCGAGAAGAGCAAAAACUAGAGCGCCGACGCGACCCGUUACCGAUCAAUCACAAGAUAUAGAUGAGGGGCUGGACGAGUUCUGGCGCGCGUGCCGCACGCCGCCCGGCAGCGAGGAGGCGUCGUCGCUGUCGGCGCGCACGCCGCUCACGUCGCGCUCGCUGCACUCGCUGUCGUCGCUGGCGUCCGCCUCGCCCGCCUCGCCCGCCUCGCCGUCGCCGCUGCGCCACUCGCCCACGCUGCGCCGCGACGACACCAUGUACAGCGUAACAUCUGGCGAAAGCACACCGGUUCUCCUAGAGUGUGAAGUGUCUCGAUGCAAAUCUUCGGACAACGUGGGCAUUAAGGCGGCACCCACCACGCCACCACCAUCGCGUUCAUCUGAUAAUGUCAACACAAUGGGCAACGGCUGCGCGCGCGGCGGCGGCAAGGCGCGGCCGUGGUCGGUGGCGGGCGGCAACGCCGACAGCGCCGCGCUCUGCACCACAGAGGGCGUGGAGGCGUGCGUGGGCGGCAGCAUCGUGGGCAUCACCCCCGGCGCCGCACUAACCAGUAACAUUACACACGCUAUCCCUUACUAGCUAGCGCAGCCCGCAGGCAGUGUCGUCCGCUUGUAGGUUCAAUGAUGCGUGAUCACCCUUUAACUCCUGAGGGCACAGAGGCCUGAACGAAGCACAAGUAAGUGUGAUGAAGCUAUCGUGAUAAGCUGAGCAGGGUUAACAAUGAAUCGGACUUUAUCUCUCAUGCUCACUAUUGUGCCAGUUAGAAGUUAGGCUCUAGUUACUCAUUCAUAGUCAAGAUGACAACAUACGCUGUGUUCGAAGACACCGUUUCGUUCUUUCAAUACUGAAUGUUUUAUAUAGUAUUUAAUUCUGCUAAUAAUUAAUAGUUGAUACGGCAUAAUAAUUCCAAGUAAAUGCUAGGUAAGGUAUUCGAACCAUAUAAUCGUUUUUUAUUAACUGUGAUGAGUUAGUAUUAUUUUGUAGCAUAUUAUAUACAAUAUUUUAUCGUCUAUGUUAUAUUCUCACUGCUUGUACUGAGCACACCAUGUGAUUAUUUUAGUCUCGCAAUCCUCGAGGGAAGUUAUUAUGGCCAUUUUCUCUCGAAUUAUCUAGAACAUUUAUUUAAGGCAGAUUAUUAUUGUUGUCAUAUCUUUUAAGUUAUUCUUACGCAUUUACACGCAUGUUUAAGUCCUUAUUUAUCCUUAUAUUAUAUAAAUCCUACACAUCUAAGACAUACAUGGAUUAAAAAUUAUAACUAAUUGAUAUAAAAUUUACAUAUAUUCGAGAGGCUUGUUUUCAGCGAUUUUACACGUAACUCGUACCGGUUCGAGUGCCAUAUACCGUUGUUUGAUUAUUUUCGUUGGCUACGUGAUGAGGAAAAACUUCAUUGCCGAUAAAUAACUAAUUGGUCUUACUAGUCAUAUAAAUAAAAGGCCUAAAGAUUACGCACAACAUGUUUUACAAAUAUUAUAUUGUAAGAAUUACGAAUAUUUCUGUUAAAAAAAAUUCAUGAUGAUAUCUUCCAUUUUUUACAUUCCUUUAUGUGUACAGAUUAAGGCUCGACUAUCUCUAAAAUUGAUCAAGUGUGAUUUUUUAAAUAAAGUUCAAAUGCGAGAUAAAUUUUAGACUAUUGCAGUUGCAUUGUAAGGUUCAAUUUUACGAUACAUUAUAGUAAGUGUAGAGAACUCGCCCCAUAACUUUUAAGUGUUCACUAGAAUAAUUAUAAAAUCAAUUAUUAUAUUAUUCAUUUAUCUUUUGAAAAUAAGGCUGUAUUUUAUUGAAUUUUCAUGUACGUAAAUUACUGAUUGAAAUUAGAUGUAUGAUAUUAUACUAUUAUUAAAUUAUUUCAUAGUAUUUUUAUAUUCAUUCCAAUUAUUCGGUUUUGUGUAGUUUUUUGGUACCAGACUGAUUUUAGGUACUUUUAUUUUAUGGUGCAAUUUAUGUCUAGAGCGUUGUGAUAAUCUGUUUUAAAUUACAAUAUAAUAUUAUACAACA